GCAGUUAUCAUUUGUUGAUGUGGUUCAUUGGUAUUUUCCGGUUCGGAUAUAUAAAUUAGAUCGUUGGUUUUCCUGUUCGAAUUGUGUACGCUAAUAAUUUUGGGUCCUUUUUAGCUUGCUGUUUGGUCUGUAUCAAAGCCCUGUGUAAAAGGCCGUACUUUGACCUGUGUUUUUUAUUAUCAGGUUGUGAACAACCCUCCCUCAGACAAGGGGUCAUUUUACUGAUGUAGAAAAGAAAAUAGAAAUACCAAGGAUUUGUAUAGUUCUUCUAUACAAAACCUUUGAAAACUUAGAAUUUUGUACUCAAAAAGAGGAAAGUUACAUCAUAUGUUAAAAAACUUUUUCUAAAAGAGGGG
rnacentral:lncRNA from 1 species